GCCUGGCUGGCUCAGUGGGUAGAGCAUGCAACUCUUGAUCUCAAGGUCAUGAGUUCAAGCCCCAAACCAGGCG
rnacentral:tRNA from 1 species